rnacentral:rRNA from 1 species
UACGAGGGGGGCAAGCGUUGUUCGGAAUUACUGGGCGUAAAGGGCGCGUAGGCGGACAGUUUAGUCAGAGGUGAAAGCCCAGGGCUCAACCUUGGAAUUGCCUUUGAUACUGGCUGUCUUGAGUUCGGGAGAGGUGAGUGGAAUGCCGAGUGUAGAGGUGAAAUUCGUAGAUAUUCGGCGGAACACCAGUGGCGAAGGCGACUCACUGGCCCGAUACUGACGCUGAGGCGCGAAAGCGUGGGGAGCAAACAGGG